AGGAUUCUGAGAUGCCUUUAAGGGUUUUGGGGGGCAUUUUUUAUAAGCUCUGGGAGUCAAUGUCCUAAAACUGAACUUGAACAGUGUGGGCCCCACUGCAGUGAGGCAGGAGGCCACCUAAAAUGGCUGGCACCAGAAACAGGGACACAUCAAUGCCUUGUUUGCUUCCCUUCCUCCCCAGAGGAUCCCUCCCAGUCCCCUGGGUGGCAUUGCUGCAGAGCAGCCUUCCCUCCUGGCACAGGAGCUUAAAUAGCUUUGAAGACAUGCAUUCCUGGAUGAAAUUCCCCCUGCGUUGGGGCCAGAAGAGGAUUUUGCCACCUCCAUCGAGAGCUAAGAAUUUUGAACAUGCAAUGGCCAAGUGAAUGGAACACUAUUGUAUCUUCAAGAGCAGAAAGAUGAGCAUAUUUGACAGAUAUGUUCCAGCUAUGACUCUGAUGAACUCCUGUAGUCCCUAAAGUUCUAGAUUGCAAGCUUCAAAUGCAACUCAUUAUGAAGAGUAAAUAUUUGCAGUGAAAUAUGCACUCAAAGUUUGAUCAACACAAAUGAACUUCCAUCUGUACUUCUAUCAAAUUCAGUGGGACCACUUGACUAAGGACUUACCAGCACAGCACAGAAACAUCUGAGCAAUGAUGUCUUUAGAUCAUCUGCUGUACAAGGAGUGGAACUCAGAGAAGUGACAUCUAAUGUAUUUCUCAUAGUAGGCAAAAUAAGAAUUGAUCAAACAGUCCAAAAGCAAACCCUAUAAAAUGAGUCCAAGGGCAAAAAGUGAGAGUGUAAGCUGCUGAAAGUGAGUUCUGAAAGUACCAGAAAAUUGUUGUCCUUUGAAGAGUUCCAAUUUGGUUUAGUGUUUCCUCUGCUA